UACGUAGGGACCAAGCGUUGUCCGGAAUCAUUGGGCGUAAAGAGCGUGUAGGCGGCUUGUUAAGUCUUGCGUGAAAUCUCGGGGCUCAACCCCGAGCGGUCGUGAGAAACUGGCAGGCUAGAGUGCGGGAGAGGAGAGUGGAAUUCCUGGUGUAGCGGUGAAAUGCGGAGAUAUCAGGAAGAACACCCGUGGCGAAGGCGGCUCUCUGGAACGCAACUGACGCUGAGACGCGAAAGCGUGGGGAGCGAACAGG
rnacentral:rRNA from 1 species